UACGUAGGGGGCUAGCGUUAUCCGGAAUUACUGGGCGUAAAGGGUGCGUAGGUGGUUUCUUAAGUCAGAGGUGAAAGGCUACGGCUCAACCGUAGUAAGCCUUUGAAACUGGGAAACUUGAGUGCAGGAGAGGCAGGCGGAAUUCCUAGUGUAGCGGUGAAAUGCGUAGAUAUUAGGAGGAACACCAGUGGCGAAGGCGGCCUGCUGGACAUUAACUGACGCUGAGGCGCGAAAGCGUGGGGAGCAAACAGGAUUAGAUACCCGCGUAGUCCCUGAGCGGG
rnacentral:rRNA from 1 species